GGGCCUAUAGCUCAGUUGGUUAGAGCGGCAGACUCAUAAUCUGCGGGUCGAAGGUUCAAACAAACUCAGCGGAUGCCUCUCUACGAAUCGGCAUCCAUCUUCUGGGCCCA
rnacentral:tRNA from 1 species